rnacentral:lncRNA from 12 species
CUACAAACAGUGCUCCUUCUUUUCAAUCUCAGACACUUCCAGGAUUUCUGGUAUUUUUCCUUUCUUCCAGGACUGGUUUGGCGCUAUCAGGCCAAGGAUCAGGCCCUUUGCCCCACAAGGCUGCUAAUGGAGAGAAGAGGUUACCCUGAAUUUGUGGCUGGGCGAAGAGCAGGGCUGCCUGACUGCUUCAGCACAUGAGGGCCACGAAGCAAGGACCUGUGACGCUGUCAGCAUCACCUGCCUGGACAUGAUGUGCCUAAGUGUGAACCAGCUCCGGUAGAAAACCUCCCCCUGGAGGCCUGGGUGUGGGCUUUGGGGCAGAGCAGAGUGCCUUUCCAGCCUAUUGUCUG